AUGGCGGCGGGCUGCUGCGGGGUGAAGAAGCAGAAGCUGUCCAGCUCGCCCCCCUCCGCCGCCGCCGCCGCCGCCGCCGCCGCCGCCUCGUCGUCCUCGUCCCACGGCGGAGGCGGAGGCGGCGGCGGCGGCGGCGGGGACAGCCAGGCCCGGGGAGCCGGGGAGGCCGCAGUCCGCCUCAACGGGCUCGGAGGGCUGGCCGGAGGAGGAGGUGGAGGAGGAGCCGGCUGCACCCUCUCCCCACCAAGGGCCUGCGGCGUCGGCGGCGUCGGGGGUGGCGGUGUCGGGGCCCUCCUGGCCUCCCCCUCCUCCUCGUCGUCGUCGUCCUCCUCCCCUUCGGCCGUCGCCGCCGCCGCCGCCUCCUCCUCGUCGUCGUCCUCCCCCGGCGGCCGGAAGAUGGUGGUGUCGGCGGAGAUGUGCUGCUUCUGCUUCGACGUGCUCUACUGUCACCUGUACGGGUACCAGCAGCCCCGGACCCCCCGCUUCACCAACGAGCCCUACCCACUAUUUGUAACGUGGAAGAUUGGUCGAGAUAAACGAUUGCGUGGAUGCAUAGGUACUUUUUCUGCCAUGAACCUGCAUUCAGGACUCAGGGAGUACACACUUACCAGUGCCCUUAAAGAUAGCCGUUUUCCCCCGAUGACAAGGGACGAACUGCCACGGCUUUUUUGCUCAGUGUCUCUGCUCACUAACUUCGAAGAUGUCUGCGAUUACUUGGAUUGGGAGGUGGGUGUACAUGGCAUUAGAAUAGAAUUCAUCAAUGAAAAAGGAUCAAAACGCACCGCCACCUACCUCCCGGAGGUUGCAAAGGAGCAAGGAUGGGACCACAUUCAGACCAUCGAUUCGUUAUUGAGGAAAGGAGGAUACAAGGCUCCAAUUACUAAUGAAUUCAGGAAAACCAUAAAACUGACCAGGUACCGUAGCGAGAAGAUGACCAUGAGCUACGCCGAGUACCUGGCCCACCGUCAGCAUCAUCACUUUCAAAACGGCAUCGGACACCCCCUCCCCCCGUACAACCAUUAUUCCUGACACCGAGCCGCAUGACCAGCCCCCGGACCCCUCUGCAGACCUCUUCCCAGGAGACCCUGCCCCUUCGUGGUCUAGCUAUCUCUAUUACUGUACCAUUUUAUGAUGAUAGUUUCCGUUGCCACGGUGGAAGGGACUUCUCCUUUUAAUUGGCGUAGCGCACCGUGGCAACGGAGAUGAAAAUUAUGAAGAUCCCAUAAUUCUUCAGGGUUUUUAGGUCCCUUGAUUUUUUUUUUCCCCCCUUCCCACUUUUUUUUUUUUGCAGCAUAUAUAAUCACCCUCAUUUUUCUUUUCUACGCUCUUAUGUGAUUUACUUCAUUGUAUCGAUCAAGAUUUUGCGGGACUGUGGAUGGAAGGAAAAGUUUAAAAGUUUUUAAGGCUGGAAUUAGGGAUUGCGUUUUUCCGAAAGAGAGACAGGCGCUUGUUGAAUUUGGGGGGCCAGGGAGUGUUAGGUAUCCAAGUCAGGAAGUUAAACUGUGCCCUGAAUUUUGUCUGGGAUUGGGCUUCUCCACUACGACGUGUAGGGCUUCAUCCCUCUGGUGAGAAGAAAAGAAAAAGUCCCGUAGCUGACCCGGCCAGGAUCCAGAAAUGGGAAGACCCCUGCCUGUCACGGAGUCGGUCAAGGAUCGCGAGGAAUCCGUUUGCCUUCCGGAGCGGCUGGCUGAACCGGAGACUUCCCUUCCCUAGUCCGUUCACAGACUUGAUUUUCACAUUAAGAAAACCGCAGUGCUGUUAAUUGAAUUUAAAUUGAUUUGAGGAGUUGGAGCAUAUCCUCCGUUGAAAUCAACUGGUGACUUUUCCUUUUAUUUUUUUAAAACCGAUGGAAGCCCGUCGUGUGCCUCUGAGAUUUCAGGGUUUCCUUGUUACAUUUAUUCUUAAAACCAGCAAUGAUUCUUUAUAUACGAAGGUAUGUUUUCCUCGUUUUUUUAUUACUGUUUCAGAAAAGCAACGAAAGAAAAAAAAAAAACACAACCAAAAAAACAAAAACAAAAAAAAAAAAGCCAACAAAAAAAGAAAAACCUCUUACUUUACUCUGGACCCAGUGACUGCGCUGGUACAUUAAACGCACUGAGAAAACAAAACUUUUAUAACAACCUAUAUGACUGUUUUUGUAUAUCGAAGUUGAUUCUUUUUGAACUAUUUGGAUCUAGUUUCUAAGUUAUUUUAGUGUUUUAUACGUUAAAAAAAAAAAAAUCCUUGGAAUUAGUCACCAGCAGAAUGAGUUAUAUUGGUGAUGCGGUGGAGAUGAUACCCAGCAGGAGCGAGGGCUACCUGGAGUAGCUCGGAGGCUCCUGUUUCCUUCUUUCUUAGUACCUUGAUUACGAUAAUGACAUCACAGAUUACCCGAAACCCCCUCCGUUCCAAAACUAGAUCUUCCCUCCUUUCGCACUGAAUUGCUAUUGGGGUGAAGAAACUGUUGAAAUGGGCAGUUUAUUACGAUGAGUAGGGGCUUUAAAAAAAAAAAAAAUUAUGAGCAAAAGCCAAAAAAUUAAGGGGGGGGGCGGGAGGGUGUUAUCUGUGGGUCUGUGAGAUAUGGCUGUGGAAAGACAUUGUAGUAGUUUUAACACUAUUGUUAUUACCUUUGAAAUCAUUUACCCAAUAAAAUAUCACAAAGAGUCCUCA